rnacentral:rRNA from 1 species
UAGUCCACGCCCUAAACGAUGCUUACUCGAUGUUUGGAUUACGGUCUGAGCAUCCAAGGGAAACCAUUAAGUAAGCCACCUGGGGAGUACGUUCGCAAGAAUGAAACUCAAAGGAAUUGACGGGGGUCCGCACGAGCGGUGGAGCAUGUGGUUCAAUUCGAUGAUACGCGAGGAACCUUACCUAGGCUAUAAUGUGAGUGCCCAUUCCCGAAAGGGAAUUUUCUUCGGAACACGAAACAAGGUGCUGCAUGGUUGUCGUCAGCUCGUGCCGUGAGGUGUUGGGUUAAGUCCCGCAACGAGCGCAACCCCUAUUUUAGUUGCUAACAGGUUAAGCUGAGGACUCUAGAAAGACUGCCGGCGUAAGCCGCGAGGAAGGUGGGGACGACGUCAAAUCAUCAUGGCCUUUAUGCCUAGGGCGACACACGUGCUACAAUGGCGCGCACAGAGGGUAGCGAGACCGCGAGGUGGAGCCAAUCCCAGAAAGCGCGUCCCAGUUCGAAUUGUUUCUGAACUCGAAAU